GAAGAACUGAGAAACAAACUCUGCUGUGCUCUUGGAAGGCGAGAAUGCAGAGACUGGGGCUGUGGCUGAUACAUCACAUGGGGAUAGGAUCAUAAAUUUCUGUUGUAUCUGGAUGGAGAUGAGCAGCAGGAUCUGUGGACUGCUGUGUUUGCACCUGCCAUCUGAUGCAGAAAUGACCUAAAGACAGACUGAAACAAUGUGUUCUACAGCCUGAAAAUAUCUGCCUUGACUUAGUUUCAUAAUGCUGGUGUGAUCACACUGGGCAAAAAUUAGCGUACAUUAUUAACUAAUCUAAUUCAAGUACCAAUUCUUCGUAAAAACAUAAAACAAUAAAAGCAAUUUAG
rnacentral:lncRNA from 1 species